GUGCUCGCUUCGGCAGCACAUAUACUAAAAUUGGAACGAUACAGAGAAGAUUAGCGUGGCCCCUGCGCAAGGAUGACACGCAAAAGAAACUUAAGAGUCUGUU